CAUGGAGGGUGAGAAUCCCGUCUUUGACACGGACUACCGGCGCUUUGUGAUGCGCUCUCAAAGAGUCGCGUUGUUUGGGAAUGCAGCGCAAAACGGGUGGUAAAUUCCAUCUAAAGCUAAAUAUUGGCGAGAGAUAGCGAACAAGUACCGUGAGGGAAAGAUGAAAAGAACUUUGAAAAGAGAGUAAAAUAGUACGUGAAAUUGUUGAAAGGGAAACGAUUGAAGUCAGUCGUACCGACGAGAAAUCAGCUCUUUGAGUGUUAACUUGUGGACGUGCGUGAGUCUUUACGGGCCUCGCUGUUUGCAUGUUUGUGCUUUUUGGGUGUUCUUUUUCGUAUGGUUGGCCAACGUCAGUUUCGAUCAUCAUAAAAUGAUCAGGGGAAUGUAGCUUCGAUCUCGUAUUGAAGUGUUAUAGCCUUUGGUAGAUGUGGUAAUUGAAACUGAGGAUUGCAACGAAUACCCUUUGGGCUAUCCGUCUGGCCUCUGAAAGUUGCCUAGGUGCCGAAAGCUUGCUUACGGUUGUCUAAGGUGGCGGUCAAAAGGUUAGAACGUGAUUACAUUCGUUAAGGAUGUUGACGUAAUGG
rnacentral:rRNA from 1 species